AGAUUGAACGCUGGCGGCAUGCCUUACACAUGCAAGUCGAACGGUAACGCGGGGGCAACCCUGGCGACGAGUGGCGAACGGGUGAGUAAUACAUCGGAACGUACCCAGUAGUGGGGGAUAGCUCGGCGAAAGCCGGAUUAAUACCGCAUACGACCUAUGGGUGAAAGCGGGGGAUCGAAAGACCUCGCGCUAUUGGAGCGGCCGAUGUCGGAUUAGCUAGUUGGUGAGGUAAAGGCUCACCAAGGCUACGAUCCGUAGCUGGUUUGAGAGAACGACCAGCCACAUUGGGACUGAGACACGGCCCAAACUCCUACGGGAGGCAGCAGUGGGGAAUCUUGGACAAUGGGGGAAACCCUGAUCCAGCGAUGCCGCGUGAGUGAUGAAGGCCUUCGGGUUGUAAAACUCUUUCGACGGGGACGAUAAUGACGGUACCCGUAGAAGAAGCUCCGGCUAACUUCGUGCCAGCAGCCGC
rnacentral:rRNA from 1 species